GUUGAACGCUGGCGGCAGGCCUAACACAUGCAAGUCGAGCGGAUGAAGGGAGCUUGCUCCUGGCUUCAGCGGCGGACGGGUGAGUAAUGCAUAGGAAUCUGCCUGGUAGUGGGGGAUAACGUCCGGAAACGGGCGCUAAUACCGCAUCCGUCCUGAGGGAGAAAGUGGGGGAUCUUCGGAGCACACGCUAUCAGAUGAGCCUAGGUCGGAUUAGCUAGUUGGUGGGGUAAAGGCCUACCAAGGCGACGAUCCGUAACUGGUCUGAGAGGAUGAUCAGCCACACUGGAACUGAGACACGGUCCAGACUCCUACGGGAGGCAGCAGUGGGGAAUAUUGGACAAUGGGCGAAAGCCUGAUCCAGCCAUGCCGCGUGUGUGAAGAAGGUCUUCGGAUUGUAAAGCACUUUAAGUUGGGAGGAAGGGCAGUAAGUUAAUACCUUGCUGUUUUGACGUUACCAACAGAAUAAGCACCGGCUAACUUCGUG
rnacentral:rRNA from 1 species